rnacentral:lncRNA from 1 species
GGAGUUUAUCUGGUCAUGCUUGUUUUAGUUGUUAUUCAAUCCUCACAAAUCUCUAAAGAGGACUGAUGGGAGAAAUACUUCUGCGUAUGUUUAUAAAUAAAGUACUUGCUUGGCCAAUGAGACAGCAGGUUAGGCUGGACUAGGAGUCAAAGAGAAUUCUGGGAAAUGUAGUAGAGAAAUGGUGUUCCAGACAGGAAGUGACAUAGCAAGGAGACUCAUAUUUAAGAAGAGGAAAAAGGAAGUGUCGCUCUCUUUCCCCUCGGCUCCUGCUCCAGCGGCACGAUGUGAUCCACCAGCUAGGAGGGACGCCAAUAAGGCGUCCAAUAAGAAUGGUGUCAGAAGUGGGAUAACUCCAUGCCCAAAGGUUCCCAGAGAAAGAGAUUCAGUAUACAACAAAAUGCCUAACACUGUUUUCAACAUCUAA